rnacentral:sRNA from 1 species
GAUACCAGGAUCAAAAGGUCUAAAUCCACAUGAGCUUGCUCAUAAGUGGAUAAAAGACCUUGGGACCCGCUCCGAUAUGAGCAUAAAAGUGGGAUGCUAAUCCCGCGAUAUGCGAAUGAAGGGCAGAAUUGUGAGAGUGCAUUGCACGAAACAAUUCGUAGGUAUC